CCUUGAGCUUCCAAUCCCUUCAGCUCAAGUCUCACUCCACCAGCACCACCAUAAAGCUCGCAACUCUAAGUCUUCUGGUGGUCCUUAUCGCUGGGCAUUACCUUGGCACAGGGCAUUGACGACAAGGCUGAAGAUUGUGAUGCCGAAGGCGGUUGUGUAGAGAGAGCUGAAGAUGUCGAGGACCCCUCAACCUGGUCGAGAGAAGGGGUAAGGCAAGGG